rnacentral:tRNA from 1 species
GCCGAAAUAGCUCAGUCGGUAGAGCAACUGAUUCGUAAUCAGUAGGUCGCAGGUUCGAUUCCUGUUUUCGGCA